UUACCAAAAACAUAGCCCUAGAAACUAAUCUAAGGUGAUGCCUGCCCAAUGGUCUAUACUAUCUUCUUUUAAAAAAGAAGAAGAAAAAUUCUUAAUGGCCGCAGUAUUCCUAACUGCAUCAAAGUAGCACAAUAAAUUGCCGCCUAAUUAGCGGAUUGUAUGAAUGGUAAUACGAGAGUUUCACUGUCUUAAGUGUAAAAAUUAAAAAAUUGAAAUAGUAGUUAAGAUGCUACUUAAAAUCGUUAGACGAUAAGACCCUAUAAAGCUUAACUAUAAUCUAUAAUUACUUUUUAAUAAUUAUAGAUUGGUAGUUUACUUGGGGCAAGGACUUUUUAAAAAUAAAAAAAGUAAGCAAAAUAAUAAAACAUUUACUGUAUAAAUAAUAAUUUUAACAGUUACAAUGUAGGCUAUAAUGACCCGUUUUAUCUGUAAAAAAAGGAAAACAAUUAUUAAAUAAAAGCUACUUUAGGGAUAACAGGAUAAUUUUAUUAAAGAGUUCCUAUCGCUAAUAAAGUUUGUCACCUCGAUGUUGAAUUAGGAUAUCCUAGCGGAGCAGAAACUGCUAAAGGUAGGUCUGUUCGACCUUUAAACAUCUUACAUGAUUUGAGUUCAUUC
rnacentral:rRNA from 1 species